CCCUGGGUCAUUCUAAACCCCGCACUGUAACAAAUUGCUGUAGUUUUUACAGCAAAAUUCUACAGAAACUUGCUGUUUUACCAUUUUACAAGUUAUUACUGUAUUUUGCAAUGCAUUAUGGGUCAAAAAGAGUAUUAUAGUUGUUAACAGUAUUUUUCCCUGUCAACUGUAAAUUAAUUUACAGGUAAGAGGUGUUUUCACUGUAGCUCAAUUUUUGGUAAGUUCACUUAAAUUUACAUCCAUAAACAUUCAAAUCAAAUGUAUUACAUUUAAUGCAUUUUAGUGAUUCAUAUUUUAAACAGAAUUCAUAACGUCAGAUGUAAUGAAUUGUAUCGACUUAGUUAACAACUGCGUGUUAUCAGCACAUUUAGUGGGAUAUAAAAGUGUUUGAUUCCAAUAUUUAUUUAUUUUUUUGCCGAAACGUUAUGUUUAUUUAGUAAAGGAAUGUGUCGUUAACUUUAAAUGUAUUGUUUCAGGCGAGGUGGAGAAUUGCGGGGCGCGUCAUAACAGUGGAGAGACGAAGCUGAACUACGGUGUCAGCAGCUGAUGUGGAAAAAACAUCUACACUUCCAGACUCUCCUAGACUUAUUGUCUUAGGUGAAAUUCUCACUGCAACUCAGUGGAUGCUGAGUAUUGAGGGUCAAGUGGUUGUGAAUCCACACCCCAACUUUGUGGCUGGAUUUGCUGCUUUGUUUACUGCAUACUACAACGUCAAUCUGGCGUACCAGCACGAGGCAUCCUGCACACUUGAAUUUGUUCAAAGAUGUUUUGUGGGAAUCAACCCACCCACUGGUACCAAGACAGCCACAACAAAAGUUGGAGUCAAAAGAAGUGGAAAGGCCUCAGAGAAGAGGAACCACAUAGUUAACCCUCAUGUGUGUACUCUUCUCAAAAGACUAAUGGACUCUUAAUGCUGUUAAUUUUAAUAAAUAUUUUUCUUACAACAGCUUGGUUUGAUUAUUUUUUUAAAUGUUUAUUUUAAAGCAUUUACAUCAAUAUAAUGGUAAAUAAUAGAGUACAGUUUACUGUUAAAAUAAGUAUUUAUAGUAUUUUCAAAGUAUAACGAUUACGGCAACAUCUUGCCUUUUGGAGCAUUUACAGGAUUUUAUUGGCAACUUUAGUUGCCAGGUAAAUAGUGUAAUUUAGUGCAAUUACAAAAAAAUACUGUAAUGUAUACUACAAUUCAAUUUUAUAAUCCUGUAAAAAAAAAAAAAAAUACUGUAUUCCACAAACAACAAUAUAUUGUAAAUUGCUUAACAGUAUUAUACUGUAAUCCAUUUUACAGCAAUUAACAACUAUUUUACAGGAUUUUAUUGGCAACUUUUUUGCCAGUAAAUUCUACAGUACAUUUUUUAAACGGAAUCCUAGGUUAUCCUGAUUCACGUUUCACGCCGCUCAUAAUUUCCCCGGAUUUAACAAUUAAUCCUGUUUAUUCAUAA